AUUUGGUGACGGGUGUUGAUGUCGUCAUUUUCCCCUUUUUCUGGGUUUGGUUUAGUGGGUUCUGGUGUGGCGAGCCACAGUGAGAGACUUGUGGAACCCGAGUAUUUGGAGAUGGAGGAGAGAGUUCUAAGCCGUUGAAGGUUACGUUGAGUGGGCUUGCCAGGCAUUGGACCUAUGCGAUUCCGAUUGGUAAUGGAGGACUUGGAGCCAUGGUGUGGGGUGAUGUUGCUUCAGAGACUCUUCAACUUAAUGGUAAAGUUGAAAUCGCUUUUCACUCUGUGUUGCUGACAGAAACCCUGGGAAACUAUGGCAUUGGGAAGUAAUUUCAGCUUUCCCAUCUCUCUUGACAGAUAGUGAAAGAAGAAUUUGACUGAUGAUCCUGGUGCCUGGGCUGUUGAUUAAACCUUUGUGUUAUAUAUCCAUAUAAGUCAUUGCAGAUGGUGGUUGUUAAACUUUCUCAGUUAGAUCCUGGCAACUUGAGAUGAUCCGUUCUUGAUAGGAGUAACAGGGAUCUUUAAUUGAAAUCAGAUCACAGCUCUCACUACUUUAGCUAUUGUUCUGCAAUCAGAGGCUCUAGAUUAAUUUUGGAGAUCCCAUUGCAAUGUUGUUGAAAUCACCAGUUCUUGUAAAUCUUGGGCAGCUAUAAAUGCGAUCAAAAAGGAGAGUUUCUAAAGCAUCUUAGCCCCAAGUUUCACAUCAGUUUGAUGAACGAAUACUGGCUUUGUUACAUAUAGUUGUGGAUGAUUUCCAAACCAUGUUUAGACUUCUCAAAUGCUGCAGCCACAACAAAAUGCAGUCCAAUGGAGGAAUGAAGCCAAAAUAAUACACAUAUGCUAGCAACAUGGUAUCCAAAUAAGUCAUGGGAUGUUUGGUGUUUCUUAUUUUGCCUCAUCUUGUCUAGAGGCUGCUUGUUUAUAUUGUAUGCAUACUAUUGAAGAUGGCCUUCCAGCAUUAUGAGAAGCAAAAUGACCAGAACCAGGGGAAACAGCUGCAUGUUCUCAUACGAAAGAGAGUUUUGGUAGAGUUGCGGAUGCCUUUUGUACGGAAGUCAUUUUGAUGAUCUUCCAAUAUGAUGCGCAGAGCAAUGACAAGAAUCAGGAAAAAGGCGCUUUUUGUUACAUGAAGAGGAGUUUGGGCAGAAUCUCUGAUGAUUUAUGUGGAGAAGUAGUGA